AAUGCCAGGCCCUGCCCUCGGCAGAGGCGGAAGCGGAGUCGGCCUGAGAAGUCUCCCGUCGCUGCAGGCGCCUCAGCCCAGCCGCGUGCCUUGGCCCAUGGCCGCCUACUCUUACCGCCCCGGCCCUGGGGCCGGCCCUGGGCCUGCUGCAGGCGCGGCGCUGCCGGACCAGAGCUUCCUGUGGAACGUUUUCCAGAGGGUCGAUAAAGACAGGAGUGGAGUGAUAUCAGACACCGAGCUUCAGCAAGCUCUCUCCAACGGUGAGUGGGCCAGUGGGACCUGGGUCUCCGGACCAAGAAGCCGUGAGCCUGCCCUGUUCACAGUGGAUAACUUUCUGAAGUUGUUUUUCCAAGGACAAAGGAAUCAUUAGGACAAAUUGUUAUUACUGCUUCAUGGUGGAGAUGCUUCUGGUUUAUUUUGUGGCUACCGCUGUUACUGCUUGGAGUGCCUCACCGAGCCAGCUAACAACUGCGUGCGUGAGCACAGGGAAAGGCUUCUUGAGAAAUGAAAACUAGAUUGUAGAUUUAGGAGGGGAAUAGGAAGGUUAGCUCUGUACAGCCGAAAGCCUUUUGGUAAGUUGGAGGUGCUUGAAUUUCCUCGCUGACUGCAUCUUGGUGACUUCUCUGAAGAGACCUUCGAGGGCACUGGGGGGUGAUUGUUGGAGGGCUUGGGGAGCUCAGGCAGCACUUGUGUGGGAACGUGGCUGUUACAGGAACUGCAGAAACUGGGACUGGGUUCCUAGGGAAAGGAUUGGGGGUGUUGGAGGCGCUGGCCAGGGGAUUAUGGGGAGGUGUUCUUAUCAGUGUGCGAAUACUGGGCGUUCAGGCAGCGGGAAAUCCGGGUCCUUGCGUGUUG
rnacentral:sRNA from 1 species